CAUAGGUUUGGUCCCAGCCUUCCUGUUAACUCUUAAUAAACUUACACAUGCAAGCAUCUACACCCCAGUGAGAAUGCCCUCUAGGUUAUUAAAACUAAGAGGAGCUGGCAUCAAGCACACACCCUGUAGCUCACGACGCCUUGCUUAACCACACCCCCACGGGAAACAGCAGUGACAAAAAUUAAGCCAUAAACGAAAGUUUGACUAAGUUAUAUUAAUUAGGGUUGGUAAAUCUCGUGCCAGCCACCGCGGUCAUACGAUUA
rnacentral:rRNA from 1 species